UACGUAGGGUGCGAGCGUUGUCCGGAAUUACUGGGCGUAAAGAGCGCGCAGGCGGUCGAUCAAGUCGAGUGUGAAAGCCCCCGGCUCAACUGGGGAGGGUCAUUCGAUACUGAUCGACUCGAAGGCAGGAGAGGGUAGUGGAAUUCCCGGUGUAGUGGUGAAAUGCGUAGAUAUCGGGAGGAACACCAGUGGCGAAGGCGACUACCUGGCCUGUUCUUGACGCUGAGGCGCGAAAAGCUAGGGGAGCAAACGGGG
rnacentral:rRNA from 1 species